rnacentral:rRNA from 1 species
AAUGAACGUUGGCGGCGUGGAUUAGGCAUGCAAGUCGAACGCCCCUUCGGGGGCGUGGCGUAAGGGUGAGUAAGGCGACGGUAACCAACCCCGCGGAGGGGGACAGCCACGGGAAACUGUGGGUAAUCCCCCAUGACGCCACGGCCGGGGCCUCCCGGCUUGGCCAAAGGUGCGACUCCGCCGUGGGACGGGCCGUCGUGGUAUCAGGUAGUUGGUGGGGUGAUGGCCCACCAAGCCGACGACGCCUAGCGGGCGUGCGAGCGUGGCCCGCCACACUGGGACUGAGACACUGCCCAGACACCUACGGGUGGCUGCAGUCGAGAAUCUUCGGCAAUGGGCGCAAGCCUGACCGAGCGACGCCGCGUGGAGGAUGAAGGCCCUCGGGUUGUAAACUCCUGUCGAGGGGGAACAAGGGGAUGUGCAGAGCAUUCCUUGAGUGAUCCCUGGAGGAAGCACGGGCUAAGUUCGUGCCAGCCGCCGCAGUAACAC